rnacentral:rRNA from 1 species
CCUACGGGGCGCAGCAGUGGGGAAUAUUGGGCAAUGGGCGCAAGCCUUACCCAGCAAUACCGCGUGAGUGAAGAAGGUCUUCGGAUUGUAAAGCUCUUUGAUCAGGGACGAACAGAUGACGGUACCUGACUAAGAAGCCCCGGCUAACUACGUGCCAGCAGCCGCGGUAAUACGUAGGGGGCAAGCGUUAUCCGGAUUUACUGGGUGUAAAGGGAGCGUAGACGGCAGAGCAAGUCUGAAGUGAAAGCCCGCGGCCCAACUGCGGGACUGCUUUGGAAACUGCCCGGCUAGAGUGCUGGAGAGUG